AGUGAUAAAUGGGGAACAUAUGUGAUCAACAAACAGUCACCUAAUAAACAGAUCUGGUUAUCAUCUCCUAUUAGGUAAUGAAUAAAUCUGUAUAAAAAUUUAAAAAAAAAAAAGAAUUUUCUAAACAAUUGAUUAGAAGGUUCUUUCAGUUUGGGUAGCUAAAGUUUCUAUUGCAUCCAAAGUAAAGUUUAAAAUCGUUUUUUAAUCUAAUGUCAUUAUCAUUGGAAUGGCCAUCUUAUUACCAUAAUUGCCUUUUGUGACUUAGUCUUAAGGGAUUAAAAUCGGGAUCAGAUAUAAAAUGUCCGGCUGGCUCAAAUGUUUUUUGGAAGCCCUGAUCCAAUCAUAAGAUUUUUUCAUAUUGAAUGACUCAAGCAGUAUAUGGGAUCUAUAUUUUACUUUUGUCUGAAAUAAGGGAGGUAAUUGGCUAAAUGUGGUAUAAAAAAUGUCACUUCCACUGUCAUAUGAUAGAGUUAUUCAAACUGAUUCCAAAAAUAUACUUAUAAAAUUGAGAAUGGAAAUGGGGAAUGUGUUAAAGAGACAACAACCCGACCAUAGAACAAACAAGAGCAAAAGGUCACCAACAGGUCUUCAAUGCAGUGAGAUAUUCCCACACCUGGAGGCAUCCUUCAGUUGGCCCUCAAACAAAUAUAUAUGCUAGUUCAGUGAUAAAGAAGGCCAUACUAAACUCCAAAUUGUACACAAGAAACUAACAUAAAAAAUAAUACAAGACUAACAAAGGCCAGAGGCUCCUGAUUUGGGACAGGCGCAAAAAUGCAUUUUAUGAUGGGGGUGAGAAAAUGAUGCAAAAUUGCCAUUUAAAGCAUAGAAAUAAGUUUCAGUAAAACUGUUUCUGUUCUUGAAGAUAUGAAAAAGUACAUGCAAGUAGAGAUUCUAGUACAGUUGCACUUUACACUGAGUGAAUAUAACCCUCAGGGACUGUCAGUCCACCUGCUACUUGUAAUUGCUUUGAGCUUAGGAAUGGAAGACUUUUAUUGAUUUUCAAGUCGAAGGUUUAAAACCUUGUCAACACAAUAAUUAGUACUUUGUCAGUCAUCUUCAAACUAGCAUACAUUAUCAUCAGCAGUAGGUGAUCUGGGAUCUCGGUCAUAAAACAUUUCUCAGUUAUGUACAUAUUUUGUGCUCCAAACACAUUUUCCAGUAUUUUAUUUGCUUGAUUCCUGAGUCUGAGUAAAACAAUCAUGCUCAAAAGUUUUAUGACAGGGAGACCAGUAGUCAAUUUCAGAAAAAUACUUACGACUAAGAUUUAUCUUAAGUAUACUGAUUUGUUCAUGACUUAAGACCAAUUUUAGUCGUAAGUUUUUUUGUGAAAUCGACUCCAGGUAUUUUAAUGUCAAUAUCAAAGUCUAAUAUUCAGUUGCCAUUUUCACAAAAAAUCUGAAGUGUAAAUUUUAUCGUAAGUCUUAAAUAUUCCUUAACAAUUCAACUAAAUAUUUUUAUCGUAAGAUUAAUUUUAUACUUAAGAUUUUUUGUGAAAAGGGCUACUGGUUUAUAUUUCAUUCUUUACUUACAGUGGUCCAAAAAGAUAUGAUUUUACAAAUGGUACUUGGAUUUAUUCUCACGACGGAGGAUCAUUACACCAGCUGUUAACAGAAGAAAUAUCCCAAGCUCUUUCAGAUGACAUUGGCUUUAGUGACUGUGAAUACUCGAAACAUUAGAAGGUGGUGUAGAUUGUUAUGUUCCCAUUUAUCUGUUUGUUAUUGCAUGUGGGUGUGAUAUCAUGUUAUUUUGUUAUUUAAUUUUUUACAUCUUGACGAUAUA
rnacentral:lncRNA from 1 species